UACGGAGGGUGCAAGCGUUGCUCGGAAUUAUUGGGCGUAAAGGGUAGGUAGGUGGUCCGAUUUGUCAGGGGUGAAAUCCUUGGGCUUAACUCAAGAAGUGCCCCUGAAACGGUCGGACUAGAGUGCUGGAGAGGGUCGUGGAAUUCCCGGUGUAGCGGUGAAAUGCGUAGAGAUCGGGAGGAACACCAGAGGCGAAGGCGGCGACCUGGACAGUGACUGACACUCAACUACGAAAGCGUGGGGAGCAAACAGG
rnacentral:rRNA from 1 species